GACGAACGCUGGCGGCGUGCCUAAUACAUGCAAGUCGAGCGGACGGAUGGGAGCUUGCUCCCAGACCGUCAGCGGCGGACGGGUGAGUAACACGUGGGCAACCUGCCUGUAAGACUGGGAUAACUCCGGGAAACCGGGGCUAAUACCGGAUAACUCUUUCCCUCACAUGAGGGAAAGCUGAAAGAUGGCAUCUCGCUAUCACUUACAGAUGGGCCCGCGGCGCAUUAGCUAGUUGGUGAGGUAACGGCUCACCAAGGCGACGAUGCGUAGCCGACCUGAGAGGGUGAUCGGCCACACUGGGACUGAGACACGGCCCAGACUCCUACGGGAGGCAGCAGUAGGGAAUCUUCCGCAAUGGACGAAAGUCUGACGGAGCAACGCCGCGUGAGUGAUGAAGGUUUUCGGAUCGUAAAACUCUGUUGUCAGGGAAGAACAAGUACCGGAGUAACUGCCGGUACCUUGACGGUACCUGACCAGAAAGCCACGGCUAACUACGUGC
rnacentral:rRNA from 1 species